rnacentral:rRNA from 1 species
GAUGAACGCUGGCGGCGUGCCUAAUACAUGCAAGUUGAGCGAAUGGAUUAAGAGCUUGCUCUUAUGAAGUUAGCGGCGGACGGGUGAGUAACACGUGGGUAACCUGCCCAUAGGACUAGGAUAACUCCGGGAAACCGGGGCUAAUACCGGAUAACAUUUUGAACCGCAUGGUUCGAAAUUGAAAGGCGGCUUCGGCUGUCACUUAUGGAUGGACCCGCGUCGCAUUAGCUAGUUGGUGAGGUAACGGCUCACCAAGGCAACGAUGCGUAGCCGACCUGAGAGGGUGAUCGGCCACACUGGGACUGAGACACGGCCCAGACUCCUACGGGAGGCAGCAGUAGGGAAUCUUCCGCAAUGGACGAAAGUCUGACGGAGCAACGCCGCGUGAGUGAUGAAGGCUUUCGGGUCGUAAAACUCUGUUGUUAGGGAAGAACAAGUGCUAGUUGAAUAAGCUGGCACCUUGACGGUACCUAACCUGAAAGCCACGGCUAACUACGUGCCAGCAGCCGCCGUAA